rnacentral:rRNA from 1 species
UGGGGAAUCUUGCACAAUGGGGGAAACCCUGAUGCAGCGACGCCGCGUGAGCGAUGAAGGUUUUCGAAUCGUAAAGCUCUGUCCUAUGGGAAGAUAAUGACGGUACCAGAGGAGGAAGCCCCGGCUAACUACGUGCCAGCAGCCGCGGUAAUACGUAGGGGGCGAGCGUUGUCCGGAAUUACUGGGCGUAAAGGGUUCGCAGGCGGCAUGACAAGUCCGAUGUAAAAGGCGAAAGCUCAACUUUCGUAAGCAUCGGAAACUGUCAAGCUUGAGUGAAGGAGAGGCAAGUGGAAUUCCUAGUGUAGCGGUGGAAUGCGUAGAUAUUAGGAGGAAUACCGGUGGCGAAGGCGACUUGCUGGACUUCAACUGACGCUGAGGAACGAAAGCGUGGGUAGCAAACAGG